GGGAGAUAGAGUAGGAGUCCAUCUCAAAAAAAAAGAAAAGAAAGAAAGAAAAAAGAAAUUACUAUGAAGAUGAAUGUGUUGAGAGUCAGGGAAAAGUGAAAUUCACUAUGAGCUGAGCUAGUGGAAAUGGCUUCCUGAAUGAAUGAAAUCCAUGGUGGCUUCUCUAUUUUGUACCAGACGCACUGGUUUAGAGAGUGGGUAAGGACAUGACCUGUAGAGCCAGGCUGCCAUUGCUCGAACAAGCUCAGCUCUGCCAGUAACGAGCUGUGUGACCCGGGCAGAUUACCUAGCGUCUCGGUGUCUGGGUCUCCUCCUCCCUAAAAUGAAGACCAUGGUAAUCAUGCCUCCCUCAUAGACUUGUGGGGAGGAUAAAAUGCCUUAGGCUAAAUGAAGCACAUAAGGAACUGAGGACAGUUGUUCCUUAUGACACCGUUUCUUGAGACGGAGGCAUGUACACGCCAGUGCACAGAAUCGUGUCUAUGUAAUUAGUUAAUUCUGUCUGGGAGGAGUGUGUGUUUAAGACACCGCCUGGGAUGACUUAUAAUGUAAUCUUUAGGCAAAACGCUUUGUAAUUGGUGCAGCUCUGAGAACACACGCAUGUGUUCCGGGCGGUGCCGCUGGGGCUCGGCGGGGCCGUGUCUGGUCUGCAAGGCGCGCGGGCUCCUGGGGGUUGCCGGGGAGCCCACGCUGCCUGGCGACUCGGGCCACUGAGUGCGAGACCCAGUCCCUGUGUGUCAGCAGCGCACACGCUGAUUUGAACCCUGCUUCGACGUGCGUGUCAUGGCUUAAAAAUAGCUGCUCAUCUGUCAACCUGCCUUGGGCAGAAGCGGCGGCGGCGACAGCAGCAGGAGCGUCAUGGCCGCGGCGCUGUCUGCGCCGGCGAUCCGCCUUCGGGACUGAGGCCCAGCGCGCGCUUGCAAAGAGACACCCUAAGAUCAAGUCUUCCCUCACCAGUCCUGAUCCUAAGACCCCUGUUUCCAAUGCCCUGUAAGUGCAUGGUUUCCCUUGGCACUGGGGGAAGGGAGAGCUGGGCCCUAGCUAGGGGUGUGAGAUAGGAACCAGAGUGUGGGCAGGGACAAAGAUGGCCUCUCACUGUCGGUCACAGAGUUGAAGUCCUUCUGGCAGAAGGCCAGAAAGGAAGUGGUAGGGGAUUCUGAAGGCUCCAGGACCUCCAGCCUUCAAACAGGCAGGACCACAGGUGUGAGGGGAUGGGGAGGGAGGGGCCUUGCCAUUGCUGCCUCCCUGCCUGAAGAUCCCAGGGCAAGCCUCAAAUGCUGGUCCUUCCCAGCCCUGCAGCUGACAGGUCAUCUGAGACACACCUGCUGAGGCCCUCAUUAUCAACCUCAUUCGUUUUGUAGAAUCACUUGCCUCCAACAGCCAUACGAUGGGUAAUUCUCAGCCUCUGAGCCCCUGGACCUGGCAGAAUCCCUCAUUUUUCCCUUUCCUUCCUGCUUUUUAGGCCCCCACCAUCCACAUCUGUCCCCCUCCCAUCAAGACACACACAGACAAAACACCCCAACCCUGCUUGGAUUCAGAAAUUCUCACAUUAGAGCUGAGAUCCGAUCACUAAUUUCCUGACUCUGAUCCAAGGAGGGUGGUUUGCCUGCUGUGCACAAUUGGUG
rnacentral:lncRNA from 13 species